UGUUUCAUUUCUGACCGUCACGGUGAUUAUCAUUACUAAUCGCUAACUCAUCGCAAGGCGUCCGUGCGUCAGGCACAGAGCAGAGCGCCCGGCGUGGAUUUCCUUCACUCGUUUUUCGUGCAGCAAAUCUUUGUUAAGUGCCUGCUCUGUGCCAGGCAUGGGGCCAGGCCCCCGGGAGAUGGCGGUGAGCAGAAUCAACGUGGCCCCUGUCCUCACACUGUGACAUUGUAGGAGCAGCAGACCAUGAGGGAAGACCUUAAUCCACGAGUGGGCUAAUUCCACACAGAGGUGCUGGGGACGCAGCAGGAAAGGCAGCAGGCACCCAAUGUCCGACACCAAUACACAGAGGGGUGUGGAUGCGCUCGAAGGACAGGUGCCGAGGACAGAGUGAGAAGAGGAGAGGGUGACACGUCACCACGUGGGGACAAAAGAGACCCGCGCCUGGGCAGGAACGCCCAGCGGGCUGUUUCAAGACUGGCGGGUGUGGACGCCCUGGGUGUUGGUGGCAGCUGGCAAGCGAGGAGGUCAGAGGCCGAGCUGGAGCGAGGCCAGACCCCCGAGGGGCACUGCCGUUUUCAUGAGGACGAGGCCUUCGUGGGAAUCAGGAAACAGCUUCCAAAAGACGCUUUCUCCCUCAGCUGAAAAACGGAUGUCAUGAUUCACGAAUCGACCGAGCCCGUGGUCGUGCCACAGACCCCUG
rnacentral:lncRNA from 1 species